rnacentral:lncRNA from 1 species
AUGCUGUUCCUAAUACUGUCAGGUUUUGUACCUCUGAUGGUGUUAUUUCUGAGAUCUGCAACUGCUUAUAAUACUGUGUUUCUUGAUAUUGUUCCCAAAGCCCCGAUGACUACAGGGACCACUGAAGUAUGUUUCAUCCAGAAGAAAGAUUUUUUGAUUGCCAGGUCUCUGUACUUUGUUAGUUAUUAUUAUCUGUACAGUACUUUUGUUGUUGUAUUCAGUGAUCCUGCUUUUUCUCUGCAGCUCUUGGAGGAGAAGGAUGGCUACCAUUACAUCAGAAGUAACUGGAUGUUCCAGAAACUGCAUUUCCCAGAAAAUUGUCCAGGCUUUGCCAGCAUUUCAUGACUUUAUGGAUUCUCAGUGUCAUGGAGGUGACAAGAGAGGAACAUGGCAUUCCCUUACUUCUUGGGCAUUAAAGCAAAACCAGCAGCCACAACACUACCCUGUAAUGCACAGCAGAAGGGGGAAGAGUUUAAGCAUUAGAUGUCUGCCCAGUGUUGGCAGACUGUGACCCAGAGAUGCAUACCUUUCCGUUUAGCGAUGAAAUGGGAAACAAAGCCACCCUACUUUUGCUUGCCACUUUUAAAUGUUUGAAAGCCGCAGAUUUCUGGGUCUGGAAACACCAGGAACUAGAUGAGAUGCUAAUUCCUUACCAAAGGUACUAUUUUAAUUGGCUACGAUUUGUGGAAACUGUUUGUGUGUGUUUCCUGAAUCCUAGUCCGUCAUUAUAUCCGCUACACCACAUUGUGCCAAAACUGUAGAUUAGCAUCAUCUGUGCCCUCAUGGUAAUGUAUAAAAUAUACAAGCAACACUUUUCCUGCAACUAAACCUUGGGGUUUGUUUGCCCUAUGAGCUAGCAUAACAUCACAGCUGAGCUGGCACCAGCUUUUCUUCCCAACUUCCCAGACCGGUUAUGUAGCUAAUGAGAAGGAGUCUAAGAUGGGUUCAUGCUUGAAAUCUCUUCUCUUGAUACAUUGGACGCCUCCACCACUGCCAGCUGACGUCCAGGUUUGGGACAUCUCUCUCCUGCCAAGUGGAUUACAUCAUUGCUAAGGAAAGAUGGCUGCAUGGAUCACUGUUAGAAGACACGGGUUCAGGAUCUGGCACAUUCUGAGCCCUGAUAAGACUUGUACCUUAUAACCUAGAUAAGGUUUUAAUUGUCUAUAGGCAGUGGAAGAAGCAGGAUCUGAGGUACCUUCCUUCCCCUUCAGCAGCAGAGUUUGUAAAAGAUCUUUCUUGGACUACAACUCCCAGAAUCCCCCAAAGCAACAAGGCCAAUUGCCUGUCUGUGACCCCCUAAAGGCAGAAAUACAUUUUGCUCUUUCAUGUGAGAGCUAAAGUCUUUCAAUCUAUAACCUAGGACUUUUUUGUCCUCGGGACACAAGAAAUGUAGAAUUUAUUUUAAUACUAUUAGAACGGCAGAGCUGGAAGGGACCCUCUGGAUUAUCAAAUCUAGUCUGUUUCAGGGAGGCCCAGUGGGGAAUUGAACCCCCCAGUCUCUGGCUCCACAGUCAGAUACCUAAAACACUGAGCUAUCCAGCAUGGUAUGUAGGCUUACAUAAACUAUUUUAUAUCUCUUUCUGAAAACAAAUAUUCCAGAAUACUUUCCUCCAUCAAUUUUCCAUUAAAAAAACCAAACAAACAAACAAAGCUUCUGGGACAAACAAUAACAACAACUAGGAAAACUUUUUUUCCUGAAUUUUCCCAAUUUUCAUCCCCGUGCUUCAUGUCUCUAGAUUCUGGGAGCUGUGGUGUGCCAAAGAAAUGCUCCUAGUUCAAAAAGUUCAGCUUCCUGAAGUUGUCCCACCCAACCACCUUCGGUGCAAUAGACCUGUUCCACCAGUGCUGUGAGAGGGCCGAGAACUGAAACAGAAAACAUGUAGAGGAGCGGUGGCUGCUGCCUCCCACUCCGUCUAGGAGAUUUUAAAGGCACCUCAGGUCUGCCUAGGUUACAAAAUGGCUUCCUUAGUCCUUCCUCCCUUACUUGUAGUCCAGCACGGCUGACGUGGGAAGCCUGCUUACACUUUGAGUGAGACCACAUACGUACCUCAGCAAGAGAGCAGAUCUUUUACACACUGGUGCCCCCCGGGGAAGCUCCCCCCCCCCGAUAGUGGAAAUUACUACCAAGUAAACGUCCACUGAUUGUUGGGCAAAGGAGGGGAGUGUUAUUGUACCCUCUCUGUUUUAGUGCAACUGGCAGUUGUUUUAAAAGUCACACGGCUGUUGUUCCUGUUGGAAGUAAUACUUCUCAUUUCAUCUGUGCUUAAUUAGCAUGUAUGAAUUAUAUCAAGCUCUCGUAACCCAGCUUUUGCACAAAUUACUUUGUUUAUCCUGGUGGUUGCCAGUCCCAUUGUAUUGGUAUAAUGUGCAUGAGGCAAUCUCAUUGAAUCUGCUCAGAGCUGAAGAGAGUUAUCUGAAAUGGAGGAAAUAGCCAAAAGAUGUGAAUCUGAUCCAGACAGUGGUGAUCUGAAGAAGACAAAAGUUCUCCAAGUUCUCCAUAUCUGGAAAGCUGAUUGACUUUUUCUACCAUCAGAGAGCAGCUAACAUUUCGUUUUAGCAGUGCCUUGUCUCUGUGUUAUGUUGUUGUUGUUGUUUAGUCAUUACCUCUGUGUUAUGUUAUUGUUGUUGUUGUUUAGUCAUUAAGUCGUGUCCGACUCUUCGUGAUCCCAUGGACCAGAGCACGCCAGGCCCUCCUGUCUUCCACUGCCUCCUGGAGUUGGGUCAAAUUCAUGUUGGUCGCUUCGAUGACACUGUCCAACCAUCUCGUCCUCUGUCGUCCCCUUCUCCUCUUGCCCUCGCACUUUCCCAAUAUUAGGAUCUUUUCCAGGGAUGUUAUGUUAUGUUACAUGCCAUCAAGUCAGAACCAACAUACAACAGCCUUAAUAGGGCUUUCAAGGCAAGUGAGAUAUUUAAGGAGCGGUUUUAUCAGUUCCACACCCCCAGUGCGUUUCCAUGGCUGAGCGGGGAUUCAAACUCAGGCCUGCCAAGACCUAGUCCAUCAUUUUAUCCCAAUAGUUCCCAGCCUUGGGUCCCCAGAUGCUCUUGGACUAAAACUCUAAGAAGUCUUCACUACUAACCAUGCUGGCCAGGAUUUCUGGGAAUUGUAGUUCAAGAACAUUUGGGGAUCCAGGGUUGGGAGCCACUGCUGUAUCUGCUGCAUCACACUGGGUACCCUGCUUGUUUCUUUAGCAGUAGGGAUUUCUUCAGUUAAACAUAAAAUAGUGGCCUUACUGGGUACAUAGGCCUCACCCCAAUGCAAUUCUGAAUCCUGGCCAGCAGCUGUUUGUGUAGACAAAAAUAAAACCAUAUUUUAGCCUAUCA